UCAGAGUGGAGGAGAAUGCCUUCAAGUCCGGCACCCCCAUAAAGGAGUCUCAGUAGAUGCACCUGAGAAAGGCCUUAGCUGAAAGCCUUUGGAAAAAUGACCUCUGAAUUGAGGCACCUGAGCAAGGCAGUGUAUAUUGCAGAAGAGCAUAGCGGGCCAGUGUGGCCUGAGUCCCUGACUGCAACUCCGUCCUGAGACGGCAGCGUGUUGGCUGUGCCCCAGCUCAGUGUAGCGAGGACAGCUUUCUGCUCCUGAGGCCUGCUAGGUUUUACUUAGGAUCACCUGGCCUUUCAAUGUCCUAAAGCAAGGAUGAUUUUGCAGCCACUUGGCAAACAAAUGGAAGAAAAAUAGGUAAAGUCCGAGAGUAAAAGCACUUGCAUGGCCUUUUAAAUGGAAAAAGAAGGGAGCAAGAACAGAAAUCUCAUGAUCUUAGCUGCAACCCUGGAAGAGCAAAAUGGUGAAGCAGGUCCUUCUAGUUGUGGGAUGUGAGAUGCUGCCUCAACGAGGCGUGAUGAGCGGUGCCAUGUCUGUGCCCAGGAUCCGAACCCUGGGCCGCCGCAGUGGAGCUUGCGAACUUAACCACUCAGCUAUGGAGCCGGCCCCACUAGCAAAGAUUUCGAUACUUUCUUUUAUUUCUAUUAACAUAUUCAGCAUAGUUAUUUUAAAGUCUCUGUGUGAUAACCUUUUAUCUCAUGAUCUUGAUGAUGUUUUUGUGUUUUCUGAGAUUUUGGUCUCAUCUCUUAUCCUUAUAUCCUUAUCCUUAUAUGUCUGACGAUUUUUGUCUGAGUGAUGAACUUUGCAUUUUUAAAAUGUAGGAGAAAAAAAGCCUGGAAGCGAAGUAAUGUUAUCUUCCUUCAGAGAACAUUUAUAUUUGCUUCUGAAAGAUGACUGACACCAGCCAUUUGGAUUACAUAAAUCUACCCUUAGGGACUAAGGUGAUGCAAAGCUUUGCUUCAGUCCUCAAGCAUAGUUCUAUUUGUGUCUCUUCCUUAAUCCUAUAAUGUAUUCAUUUGUGGUCCCUGCCCAAUGUGCUCGGGAUUUCCCAUGGCACUCUCCUAUGAAUAACCUUCAACUCUAAUUUUUGUCUUGUUAGACAUACAAGACAAUUAAAAUUUCUCUCCUUCUUGGGUUCACAGGUGCUUUUCUGGAAUGCACAGAUACCUUAGGGGCAAUGUGGUCCUAAAUGCUGAGCAAAGUUUCUUUGUGUCCUUCUCUUAUAUCUCAAGUCCUAUAUUUUUUCACUGCCUUC
rnacentral:lncRNA from 1 species